GACGAACCGUGCGAACGUUGUUCGGAAUCACUGGGCAUAAAGGGCGCGUAGGCGGCUUUUCAAGUCAGGGGUGAAAUCCGGCAGCUCAACUGUCGAAGUGCCUUUGAUACUGGGAAGCUCGAGGGAGGUAGGGGUCUGUGGAACUUCCGGUGGAGCGGUGAAAUGCGUAGAUAUCGCUUGGAACGCCGAAGGUGAAAACAGGUUGCUGGGGUUGUGCCGACGCUGAGACACGAAAGCCAGGGGAACAAACGGG
rnacentral:rRNA from 1 species